GGAUUUGGAUUCUGGACAUCUGUUUUUUGAAUUGAAUUUUCCUGGAAUAUUUGUUGUGAUUGUUGGAAGUGAAGAAUCGGGAAUGGAGAGAUCGAGAUCUAAGAGAUACUAUUAUGACCAGGACUAUGAAUCUGAAACCCUACACUCCCGGAGCAAGCCGCGCUACGGCAACAAUUCACACGGAGGUGGCGGCGGAGGCGGAGGUGGAGGUCACCAUUAUGCUCCGAGCUAUCGGCGCUCUUCAUCCUCCUCUGGCGG
rnacentral:lncRNA from 1 species